UGGAGCGGGUCGACCUGACGGCAGCCCUGAGGAGGAGGAGGAAGAGGAGGAGCGUGCGGCUGAGGCAGCGGCUCCGUCGCGGAGCGGCGCCCGGGCCGGGAAGGCUCCGGCGGGCGGCCGGCGCGCUGCCUCAUGGGUAGGCUCCGGGCCAGCGCCGCGCGUCCGCUCCCGGUCUUCGCGCCGACGCGAGCAGGCCCACCGUGGGCGCCGCGCACAGGCCUCGAAGGCUAAGGUGGACUGCGCCGGCCCGCCACGCGGCCCUUGAGGACUGCACCGCCCGGGCGAGGGCGAGGGCAGGAGGAAGGGGCAGGGGAGGCGGCAAGCAACCCAGCAGAAGGGGACUCGCCAGGUCAGUCAAAGGCCAGGGCGUUACCAAGGCUGCCCUCCACUCUGCCGUGUGGCCAUUAGCGCACAGUGAUUAAAGAAGCGCGCCCAGUGAGUUUACAAGAGCGCUUGCCACGGCACUCGCGCGUGGACACGACCAGUGGUCACGUUUCGAUCUGUCAGGAAAGCAUCCUCUACCGAGCCUCACGCUCCAGCAACACGCGGAGUCCGCCUGCCUACCAGUCACUGGAUCUGCUAAUUCUGUCUUCCUGACUGAAUCAAGGUUCUUUCUCACGCAGGUUGCCCCAGCUUCUCUCAGUACCAGGGAUCAAACUCAGGACCUGGUGCUUGCCAGGUAGACGCUGCGCUGCUGAGCUACAUCUCCGGCAGUCAUUUGUUUUUCUGACAGCUACCUUUUCUAGCUCUUCUACCUCCGGACCAAGCUAUGUGGUUGUUUCUGGCAAGUGGAUGUAGACAAAAGUAGCUCAUCCAAUAUUCUAAAAGCAAGAAUAAAUGAGAUUACCUGAGACUAAGAAGCUUCUGCACAUCAAAGGAUAUAACAAGCUGAAGAGACAACCUGCAGAAUGAAAGUAUUUUCAAAGUUUUCAUGAUUCAGAUUUCAUUAACAUCUUCAGUGAACAAGGAGCUAACAAAAAAAAUCAAUUUAAAAAUGGAUAAAUAAUCUAAAUAGACAUUUCUCAAAAGAAGGUAUACAAAUGACUAGCGAGUUUUGGGAAAAAAUGCUCUAUCACUAAUCAGGAAAAUGUAAAUCAAAAUCACAAUGAGAUAUUAUCUUACCUCGGAAUGGCUGUAUUAAAAAAGACAAAUAAUAAAUAUUGGCGAGGAGGUAAAGAUCCUGGGUAUACAACCAAUUAAAUGAAAUCAAUAUGUCAGAGAGACAUCUGUGCUCCUUAAUUUAUUGCAGCACUAUUCACAUAGCCCAAGACAAUGGAAUCAACUGAGGCAUCCAUCAAAAAAUGAAUUGAUAAAGUGUGAGAUUAUAUAUAUAUAUAUAUAUAUAUAUAUAUAUAUGAAUGACCCAUAAAGAAAAAAUGAAAUCCUGUCAUUUGCAAUACCAUGGGUGGAAUUGAAAGACAGUAAUGUUAAAUGAAAUAAGCGAAGCACAGAGAAAAAUACUGGAUGUUCUCACUCUUACAUGGAAGCUAAAAAAACUAGAGUAGGAUAGUGAUCACUAGCAGCUGAGAAAGAUUGCUAGGAUAAGAGAUAAAGGGAGAUGGGAUAAUGGGUACUAAAAUAGAUUACAUAAGAAGAAUGAGCUCUGAUGUUUUCAUGACAGGGUGAUUAUAGUUCAUAAUAAUUGUCCACCACCGCUCCCAGCCCAGAAGAGGUGAGCCAAUCCCAGUGCCCAGGAGGAGGCUUCCGGGCCUCUGUACCAUCCCCCACCCAGCUCAGAGGAGAUGAGCCACACAGGCACCCACAGCAAACCCCCCCCUGCAAAAUGAGAAGACAUGUAAAUAAGUCUCAAAACCAGAAUUCCAGAUUACCUAAAGCAACCGAAAAGGGAAGCAAGAUGGAACACUCUGAUACUCAACCACCUGGACUCCCUGAACUGGCAACAAAAGAGGAUCUGGAAAAAAUGAAAUCAGAAAUAAUUUCUCACAUAACAGCAGAGAUUGUGCCCAUAGUGCAAGACAUGAUUAAUAAAUCUAGAGAGGACACAUUAAAAAAAAUAGAGGAGCUGAGGAACAUGAUGGAAUCCCAACAUAGGAAAUAAAUUGAAUCCAUAAAACAGAUGCAAACAGAUUUCCAGGAGAUUAAAAACUCCACUGAAAGUCUACGCAGCAGAAUGAGCCAAUGUGAGGACAGAAUCUCACAUAUAGAAGAUAAGAUUGCAAUUAGUGACCAGGAAAAGAAAAAUUGCUUUAAAAUUGUAAGGGACCAUGAGAAAUCAAUCUAGCAGCUGCUAGACGAUGCAAAGAAGAAUAACGUAAGACUGAUUGGAGUCAAUGAAGAAACAGGAGAGAGUGCAGAUGACAUAAAAAAACUUCACAGAAGUGAUGGCAGAAAACUUCCCAAGCAGGGAAAAAGAACUUGACAUACAGAUAAGUGAGACAUAUAGGACUCCAGCUAGCCUUGGCAUAUAAUAGUUAAGAUUCCAGAAACCCAACAGAACAAAAUUCUACAAGCAGUGAGAGAGAAGAAACAAAUCACAUACAAAGGAAAGCCCAUCAGAAUCACAGCAGACUUCUCAAUGCAAACCCUCAAGGCAAGAAGAUCUUGGAGUGAUGUAUUCCAAGGCCUAAAGUAAAACAGCCUCCAACCCAGAUUGAUGUACCCUGCAAAACUAUCUUUCAGAGUUGUUGGAGAAGUAAGAUACUUUCAUGACAAAGAGCAAUUUAGGAACUUUAUGAAUACCAAACCAGCACUCCAAAAAAUUUUAGACAAAAUCCUAGGAAAAUGAGGAUCACAACCCCAGGAAGCCGAGCAGAAUGAAUCCAUCAGGUGCAACAAGAAAUUAAAUGCAAAGAGGGAGAAUCCGACAAAAAGAAAAAGUCAUUACAGGGAUAAGUCAGUACAUAUCAGUUAUAACCAUCAAUGUUAAUGAUCUUAAUUCACCAAUCAAAAGAAAUAGACUGGCAGCAUAGAUCAAGAAGCAAGAUCCAACCAACAAUUUGCUGCAUACAAGAAAAACAUUUAAUUCAAAAAGAAACUCACACUGAAAGUUAAAGGGUAGAAAACAAUAUUCCACUUGACAGGAACCCAAAAAAAAUCAGAAGUACCUAUCCUCUUUGCAGAUCAAGUGGAUUUCAAACCAAAAUCUGACACACUUCUGGUCCCAAGAAUUUCAGAUAAGCAAUAGUCAACUUGUAUAUACAACUCUAUUGUGAACAUGUGUUUUCAUUCCUCUUAAGUAAAAACUUAAGAACAGAACUGUUGGUUCUUAACAAUAAUACAAGAAAUUUCUAUAUUGUUUUCCAAAAUGGUUUUAUCAUUUUACAUUCACAUUAGCAGUAUUAGAAAGUUCUAACUGGUUCACACCUAAGCUGACAUUUGUUCUUUUAAAACUUAUAACUUCAACUCCCUAAUGAGUGUAUAAUUCAAUCUUGUUAUUGUACUGAUUAGUAUUUUUCUGAUUCUAGUGUUGCACACCUUUCUUUGUGCCGUACUGGCUAUUUAUCAUCUUCUUACGUCUACUUUUUAAUUGGGUUGUCUAUUAAUGAGCUGUAAGAGUUCCUUAUAUAUUCUGGUCUUAGGUUAUAUGUAUUAUAAAUAUGGUCUGUUUAAGGACUACUUUUCAUUUUCUUAAUGAUGUCAUUUAAAGUUCUAAAUAUUGAUGGGCUCUCAUUUAUCAAUUUCUUUCUUUUAUACAUCAUGUUUCUUGUAUCCUAGGAAAUUCUUGCCUACCUUAAAUUCAUGAACAUUUUCCCUUAUAAUUUCUUCUUAAAGUUUUAUAUUUUAGUCUUUCAUAUUUAGGUUCAUAGAUCCUUUCAAGUUAUUUUUAUGUAUGGAAAUAAAGGGUUGAGGUUAAUUUUUUACAUAUGGAUACCAGGUGUUCUAGUGCCAUUUACUGAAAACACUAUCUUUUCCUCUGCUCUUGAAUUGAGUUUAUGUUCUAUAAAAUGGUUUUUUGCAUAUUUUUUUAUUAGUACAUGUUCAUAGUAUAGAAUUUUACAUUCCCUGUGGAAAAUUGGUACAUGUACUAAUACACUUUAAUUCCAUUGUUUCACCCCCGUGCAUGUCUUGAUUUCCUCCUCUUUUUUUCAUGUUUGCAGUGCAUAAUGUUCACAUUCCUUGUAUUCCAUUUCUAAAGCACAUUCUGUAUUCCUCUGACAAGGCCCAUUCCUCAUCUACAUAAAGCCACAGGAUAUUGUAGAAGGCAAGUUAUUUGUCCAGUGUUCCUCUCAACAUCUUGUACGUGUCUGUGCCUUUUGCUUUUCUUGAAGCCUGGUCUGGAGUAUUUUGUUGUAGCAUCAGAAAAUGGAUAAAGAUACUCUGUUAAGCCAUUA
ensembl:lncRNA